rnacentral:rRNA from 1 species
UCUGGCUGUACCUGAACACCCCUAAUCUCGUCUGAUCUUGGGAGCUAAGUCGGGUCAGGCCUGGUUAGUACUUGAAUGGAAAGGGGAGAGCCCUGUGUCUGAA